GUAGUCAUAUGCUUGUCUCAAAGCUUAAGCCAUGCAAGUCUCAGUACGAACUGCUCUAAAGUGAAACCGCAAAAGGCUCAGUAAACCGGUCAUAGUUUACCGGAUAUAUGCCAGUCACUUGGACAACUGUGGUAAUUCUAGAGCUAAUACAUGCAAACAAGUCCCGACCAGCGAUGGGGAGGACGCUUUUAUUGGAUCAAAACCUUUCGCCCGGCCUGCCCGGGCGUCGGCUUGAUGACUCUAGAUAACACCACAGAUCGCACGGUCACAGUACCGGUGACGUAUCCUUCAAAUGUCUGACUUAUCAGCCGUCGAUGGUAGACUCUCUGUCUACCAUGGCGCUCACGGGUGACGGGGAAUCAGGGUUCGAUUCCGGAGAGGGAGCCUGAGAAACGGCUACCACAUCCAAGGAAGGCAGCAGGCACGCAAAUUACCCACUCCCGGCACGGGGAGGUAGUGACAAAAAAUAACGAUACGGGACUCAUCCGAGGCCCCGUAAUCGGAAUGAGAACACCCUAAAUCCUUUAACGAGGAUCUAUUGGAGGGCAAGUCUGGUGCCAGCAGCCGCGGUAAUUCCAGCUCCAAUAGCGUAUAUUAAAGUUGUUGCGGUUAAAAAGCUCGUAGUUGGUUCUGCGUGCCGCGCUGUCGGUUCACCGCCUGCCGGUGCAACUGGCAUGCCGCGGCAUGUCCUGUCGGUGGCGGACAGGCCUCGAGGCGCGCCCUGCGCGGUAUACCAGCGCGUAGGUCGCUGCGCCUCGUCGUCCUCGUUCGCCGGCUCAAUCCUACCGCGGUGCUCUUCACCGAGUGUCGAGGUAGGCCGACACUGUUUACUUUGAACAAAUUAGAGUGCUUAAAGCAGGCUCUUAAAUCAGCCUGAAUAGUGGUGCAUGGAAUAAUGGAACAGGACCUUGGUUCUAUUUUGUUGGUUU
rnacentral:rRNA from 1 species